GGGUUGUGAGGUUAAGCGACUAAGCGUACACGGUGGAUGCCCUGGCAGUCAGAGGCGAUGAAGGACGUGCUAAUCUGCGAUAAGCGUCGGUAAGGUGAUAUGAACCGUUAUAACCGGCGAUUUCCGAAUGGGGAAACCCAGUGUGUUUCGACACACUAUCAUUAACUGAAUCCAUAGGUUAAUGAGGCGAACCGGGGGAACUGAAACAUCUAAGUACCCCGAGGAAAAGAAAUCAACCGAGAUUCCCCCAGUAGCGGCGAGCGAACGGGGAGCAGCCCAGAGCCUGAAUCAGUGUGUGUGUUAGUGGAAGCGUCUGGAAAGGCGCGCGAUACAGGGUGACAGCCCCGUACACAAAAAUGCAC
rnacentral:rRNA from 1 species